rnacentral:lncRNA from 1 species
CGUCGUAGUAGUCGUAGUAGUCGUCGUAGUAGUCAUCGUCGUAGUUGCCGUAGUCGUCGUAGUCGCCGUAGUCGUCGUAGUCGUAGUACUCGUAGUACUCGUAGUAGCCAUAGUACUCGUAGUCGUCGUCAUAGUCGUCGUAAUCAUCGUCGUCGUAGUCGUCGUAGUAGUCGUCGUCGUAGUCGUCUUCGUAGUAGUCGUAUUCGUAGUAGUUGUCGUCGUCGUAGUCGUCGUACUCGUAGUCGUCGUACUCGUAGUCGUAGUCGUAGUCGUAGUCAUAGUCGUACUCGUAGUCGUAGUCGUAGUCGUCGUUGUAGUCGUCGUCGUAGUCAUAGUCGUAGUUGUAGUCGUAGUCGUCGUCGUUGUAGUCGUAGCCGUCGUCGUAGUCGUAGUCGUAGUCGUAGUCGUAGUCGUAGUCGUCGUCAUCGUAGUCGUCGUCGUCGUAGUCAUAGUCGUAGUCGUAGUCCUAGUCCUAGUCGUAGUCAUAGUCGUAGGAGUCGUAGUGGUAGCAGUAGCAGUAGCAGUAGCAGUAGCAGUAGCAGUAGCAGUAG